AAACAAAAUUAAGUCGUAUGUCACAAAUAUGUACCAGAUUUUCCAAAUUAAUUGUUUUUUUUUGUUUCGACAAUGAUUUCUUUCAGAAACUGUCCGA
rnacentral:ribozyme from 18 species